UACGUAGGGGGCAAGCGUUGUCCGGAUUUAUUGGGCGUAAAGAGCGUGUAGGCGGCUUUACAGGUCCGUUGUGAAAACUCGAGGCUCAACCUCGAGACGCCGGUGGAAACCGUAAAGCUAGAGUCCGGAAGAGGAGAGUGGAAUUCCUGGUGUAGCGGUGAAAUGCGCAGAUAUCAGGAAGAACACCCGUGGCGAAGGCAGGUCUCUGGGCAUUAACUGACGCUGAGGAGCGAAAGCAUGGGGAGCGAACAGG
rnacentral:rRNA from 1 species